UCUUUCUUUUGCUGGCGACCGGCGCACGGGUGAGUAACACUAUCCAGCCUGCCCUUUACUCGGGGAUAACCUUUCGAAAGAAAGAUUAAUACCCGAUAGCAUAAUGAUUCCGCAUGGUUUCAUUAUUAAAGGAUUCCGGUAAAGGAUGGGGAUGCGUUCCAUUAGGUUGUUGGUGAGGUAACGGCCCACCAAGCCUUCGAUGGAUAGGGGUUCUGAGAGGAAGGUCCCCCACAUUGGAACUGAGACACGGUCCAA
rnacentral:rRNA from 1 species